CGGCGUGUGGCGCAGCCCGGAAGCGCACUACUUUGGGGUAGUAGGGGUCGCUGGUUCAAAUCCAGUCACGCCGA
rnacentral:tRNA from 1 species